rnacentral:tRNA from 1 species
GCCCUCGUAGCUCAGUGGAUUAGAGCGUUUGCUUGCGGAGCAAUAGGCCGGCGGUUCGAGUCCGUCCGAGGGCGCCA